UCUUGUCUUUUUCUUCUUUCUUUCUCGUUCUUCUCUUUCCUUUUUCUUCUUCUCCUCUGUGCAUUUUCUACCAAAAUUUGAGAAAACAGAUCGGCUAUUUUGUGAUCAGUAGGAGAUGGAGAAUAUGAUAGAUUAGUUGAUAGUGAAGGUUUUGUUGUGUGUUGCUGAUUCAAACCCGAAGGAGGAGGUGAAUUAGAAGUUAGGGUUUGAGUAAAAUUAGUGUUGUUUAUGAAUUUCUGAUAGAUGUUGAGGGAAGGGGUGGUUGCUAUUUUAGUGUCAUCGAGAUUUUCUCAAGUUGAAUCGAAUAAUUAAAAAGUUAGGGUUCUGUUCUUUCCUAAUCGGAAAAUAGGGUUUCUGUAAGUUGAUUUGGAAUUCGAUUCGAUUAAGUUAUAAGAUGAAGUUGAUGUUCUAGGGGUUGAUUUGAGAUGGGUGGUCGAUCUGGUUAUGAUGGUGGUAUUAAUCCAAGUGUUGAUUCAAAAUCAGGGAGAAUUAAAAAGGUAACUAAGGUUCUUUUGAAUUGAAGAUUAAAUUGUGUUAAUAUGAGUAUGAACCACUGAUAUACCUCUUGGGUUUGUUAUAAUUCAAGUAUGAAAGACUGUGUGUGAUUUAAGAUUGUUCUUUUUGGUGUAAUUGAGUAUUUGUUGUUGGUGACAGAUUUAAGAUUUGGAUGAAGCUGGAUUUGGUUGUCUAGUUGAAUUCAAGUAGGUGUAUAAGAACAACAGUGGCAGGACUGGGAAGUUAGGAAUUGCAGGGUUCCUGUGAGUUUAAUUGGGAAUGAAAUCCUAUGAAUAAGGAUGUUGGGGUAAUUGAAAUUUAUUUGGAUUGUGAUGUGCUGAGGCUGGUGGUGGUUUGUUGAGUUAAGAUUUUGAACUGAAGUGAUAAGUAUGGAUGGUUAUUAGGUCUAAUGGUUACUGCAAAGCAGAGUUGAGUUAAAUGGUGAAAUGUAGAAGUUGUUGGUGGAGCUGUAAGUGUAAUUGAGUUGGUGAUUUAGGAAAGAAUAUUAUAGUUUGUUAUGAUGGUGCUGAAUUGAGAUUGAGGUUGGCGGUAUGUACUGCAAUUGGGUUUUGUUAUAAUGGUAUUGGUCUUAGUUGAGUUGGAACUACCAAACUGAAGGGAGACUUGUGAUGGUUAUGUAUAUAUGUCUGAGUUGAAGUUAGAUAUAGGAAUUACAAGAUUUAUGAACUAUAGAGAAAGUAUGAAUGUGCUAAGUUGAGUCUCUCUUGGAAGCUUGCAGCUACUGCAUUUGUAGUUAGUCUAUAUUAACAACGAUUGAUUCAAGGACGAACCAGCGGAUCGUGAAUCUCGAGGUAGGUGUGGCUUGUCAUCAAAAGAGAGACAGAUCAGAGUUGCGCAGUGAAAGCUUCGAGGCGUUUGUUAGAUUACUUCUGUUAUGUUUAUUAUGUUUUCUAUUUGCAAACCAUGACUAUUGUAUAUGUAUCAUUUGAC